GCCAACGUGGCUCAGUGGUAGAGCACUCGAUUCGUAAUCGAGCGGUCAUGGGUUCAAAUCCCAUCGUUGGCU
rnacentral:tRNA from 1 species